rnacentral:rRNA from 1 species
GACGAACGCUGGCGGCGUGCUUAACACAUGCAAGUCGAGCGGUAAGGCCCUUUCGGGGGUACACGAGCGGCGAACGGGUGAGUAACACGUGGGUGACCUGCCCUCAGCUCUGGGAUAAGCCUGGGAAACCGGGUCUAAUACCGGAUAUGACUCCAUGACGCAUGUUGUGGGGUGGAAAGCCUUGUGCGGCUGAGGAUGGGCCCGCGGCCUAUCAGCUUGUUGGUGGGGUGANGGCCUACCAAGGCGACGACGGGUAGCCGGCCUGAGAGGGCGACCGGCCACACUGGGACUGAGACACGGCCCAGACUCCUACGGGAGGCAGCAGGUGGGGAAUCUUGCGCAAUGGGCGAAAGCCUGACGCAGCGACGCCGCGU